GAAAGGAUCAAGAAUCGAUAAUUCUUCUUUGCGUAAACGUGAACUGUUAGGAAAUGUAGUUGUUCAGUAAGCUAAAAGUAAUUACUAGUUUGUAUUAGUCACAAUAGGGUAGACAAAAAUUCUAUUUAUUUUUAUUCGUAAAAAAAAUUGAUGAUCGUCAGAAUGACGCGAUAGAAAGAAUCGAGUUAAUAUUUAUUCGUAUACGUGUGUGCGUGUGUGUGUGUGUUUUUUUAUUCUUUUAAUUCAAUGAAUUAUUAUGAAAUAACUUCAGAAAUAAUCGUUCUGCUAUGAAAAUACCUCCAGAAUAUCGUCGAAGGAAGAGAAGGAAACCGAAUAAAAAUAAGAAUGUCGUCACGAAAGAAAAGAAAGAAAAUGAUAAAAAAAGUACGAUCGACGAACGAAUUUCGGAAUCGAAUUCUAUCUCAGUUUUUAAUUCAUCAUCGACAUCGGCAUUAUUACCAUUGGAUACAACCGUUGCAACGGAAGAUAUAAAUAUAAUCAAUGAAAGUUCUGAAAUGACCAAUGAAUAUAUACCAAUAGUUCCAAUCGACGUACAUUCCACAGAUGAUUUAUUAAAAAAAACGGAAGAUUGUUUGCGAUUCCUUUUUGGACCUACAGCACUUCAAUGAAUUUUUAUUACGUGUGCGCGUGAAUCAAUCUUAAAUAUUGGUUUCAUCGAUUGCAUAUGAAGAAAGCGGGAAUACUGGUGACCUCUUUUUCUCGAGGUCAUAACGAAUACCGAAGCUUUUGAUUAUAGCAUUUUUAACAGUACGGUCGUGUAUACAAGCAAAGGCACACUUCAAGGACAACGCAGACGAAUCUCGAGAAUAUUCUUCCUAUCUCUAUUUCUCCCCCCCUCUCUCUCUCUCUCUCUCUCUCUCUCUCUUUUUCGUCGGUUUCGAGCUGUAAUAUACCAGAGUUCUAACGAAGAAAAGAAGAAUCGAUCUAAUAUGAGCAGAAACGAUAUGGAUUUGAUUUGAAAUGAUUUUAACAAGGAUAUUGUACAACAUUAUAGACAUUGGGGACCUCCUCCUCCGUUGACGAUCAAAUAGUCAAAAUUUCAUUCGGACACCUCUUUCGUUUCACGAAAGUAUGUAUCACGCUCGCGAAAAUUUCUUGACUUUCCUUUCUUUUUAUUUUUUUAUUCGUUUGUUCGUUCGUUAAAGCUAAUCAACAUCGAUUUGGCUCGCAAUGCCGUCGGAUAAGCGUUACAACAUUAACAAUGGCUCGACGGUACAUUCGUUGCAAGCCAAAUCUUCCGAUAUAUCGAGCCUUACCACAACCCAUUUCAUACUCAUUUACAUUAUUAUUUUCUAGUCUUUUAUUCUUUUUCAUUUCCGUUAUUAUGAUUAUUAUUAUUAUUAUUAUUAUGUUUCUUUUUUGUUUAUUUCGUUUAUCUCUUUUGCCUUUUAAUAUCUACGAUUGAUCACGAAUCCGUAGAUGGGUCGCAAUUUCGUAAUGUUUUCGAUCAAGCGUGAUAGGAUCGACGAUCGAUCGUCGGACGAAAAACAAUAACAAUUUUAACGUAAAAUGUAUACUAUAUAUAUGUACGUACGUAAUAUUAUGUUUAUUUAUAUGCGACGAGUACGACGAUCGAUCUCUAGCGAGAUCAUUUAAACUAUACAAUUUCGCACCUUGUCUAUUCGUUCGUUAGGAGAGUGGAAAGGAAGGCUGUCCAAAAAAAAGAAAACAAAAGAAAAGAAUAAAAA